rnacentral:lncRNA from 1 species
AGCAUCUUGGGGCGCAGCAAACUUGCGAGGCUGCUGGUUCGUUUCCGCUUGUGAGACAUACGUCUGUGUAGUUUUUAGAAAUAUGCCUCAUUCUAUAUCUAGCAUGAGACUGCUGGUCAGGAUCCUCAUUUGAUUUAAACAUAGCCGUUGUUGAGAACUUGCGCUAUUCUUAGAGGGCCCACAUCUAGGACACUAGCGGACUCUUAUGGAGAGGACCGGGGGCGGCCGGCGCUGAGGAUCAGGUGAGAGGCGUCUGUCAAAUGAGUGACUACGCCCGAACUGACGCAAACACAAGAGCGGUGCUUUUCGGAACUCUAGGGGCCCCCAAGUCUCCUCUAACUUCAAUUUCAGGAGGCCGAGGUCGGAUUCGCUCUGAACAGAUUCGCAGAAGAGGCUCAGGAAUCAAUCGUCACAAAACUUAGUGCUGUGAUAUUUCACCAAGCUGCCGCAUGUGCUAACCUUUAGCAAAAAAAAUUAAGAUGCCACUGUUAGACUACACAAAGGAGCAACAACUCAGAGAAAAAUGGGAGUCUGCCAACUGCAGAAACAUAUUGUCCAGGAAAAGUCACUGAUAGUAAAGAACUUCCUCUCUCCUUAUAUAAGCUACCAGAUGUAUGGAACUGAAUUUAAAAAAGAAAAAAAAGAAACCUGUGAGUCAUUGGGU